GGCUGUGGUGGCAGCGGCGCUUUCAGCGUCUCCCGUCAACCUGAGACCGGCGCAUUCACAAUGCUGAGAUCGGUGGUUCGAGUCCGCCCACAGCCG
rnacentral:tRNA from 1 species